rnacentral:rRNA from 1 species
UUCUGGCUCAGGAUGAACGCUGGCGGCGUGCUUAACACAUGCAAGUCGAACGGACAUUUAAUGAAACCUAGUGAUUAAAUGUUAGUGGCGGACGGGUGAGUAACGCGUGGGUAACCUGCCUUACACUGGGGGAUAACACUUAGAAAUAGGUGCUAAUACCGCAUAAGCGCACAGCUUUGCAUGAAGCAGUGUGAAAAACUCCGGUGGUGUAAGAUGGACCCGCGUCUGAUUAGCUAGUUGGUGAGGUAAUGGCUCACCAAGGCGACGAUCAGUAGCCGGCCUGAGAGGGUGAACGGCCACAUUGGGACUGAGACACGGCCCAAACUCCUACGGGAGGCAGCAGUGGGGAAUAUUGGACAAUGGGGGAAACCCUGAAUCCAGCGACGCCGCGUGAGUGAAGAAGUAUUUCGGUAUGUAAAGCUCUAUCAGCAGGGAAGAAAAUGACGGUACCUGACUAAGAAGCCCCGGCUAACUACGUGCCAGCAGCCGC